UUCGAAGCUAGAUGAUUUAUUUCCAUCCCUAGCAUUUUCUCCAGUUGGUAUUUCCAUCUUGUUGAGAUUAGCCGAGUGUUGCAGCAGUGAUUCAAAUCUUUGUUAAUUAUAUCAUUUGUGUUAUUUUGUCAGCAUAAUCAUGAUCAUAUACAUACAUAUUCAUGCGUAAAACACAUCAUCAGAUAUUUCAUUAUGAAUUUUAUCGCAUUUGAUUUUUUCUUUUGAUCCCUCGCUUCGGUAAUAUUAUUUACCCAUGCAGAUUUGGUGUGUUU
rnacentral:lncRNA from 1 species